rnacentral:rRNA from 1 species
CGGGGGAUGCCUUGGCGUCAAGAGCCGAUGAAGGACGUGUAGCACUGCGAUAAGCAACGGGGAAUCGUGCUAGGGUAAUGAUCCGUUGAUUUCCGAAUGGGGAAACCCAGCCUGGGGAAUGCCAGGCUAGCCACUGAUGAACACAUAGUCAGUGAGCGGGGAACGCAGGGAACUGAAACAUCUAAGUACCUGCUGGAAAAGAGAUUAUUCCGUCAGUAGUGGCGAGCGAAAAGCGGAACAGCCCAAAACCAGUUUGGCUUCGGUCAACCUGGGGUUGUAGGACCAACAGAACGAAUGAAUUUGCUAGUGGAACGAUACUGGAAAGAUCGACCACAGGGGGUGAAAGUCCCGUACACGAAAGCGAAAACAUUCCGGUUGGUAUCCUGAGUACUACGGAGCACGCUAACUCUGUGGGAAACUGGGAGGCCCACCUUCCAAGGCUAAAUACUCUUGACGACCGAUAGUGAACAAGUACCGUGAGGGAAAGGUGAAAAGCACCCCUGUUAGGGGAGUGAAAUAGAACCUGAAACCGUGCGCUUAC